UACGAAGGGAGCUAGCGUUGUUCGGAAUUACUGGGCGUAAAGGGCUCGUAGGCGGCCAACUAAGUCCGACGUGAAAUCCCCAAGCUUAACUUGGGAACUGCGUCGGAUACUGGAUGGCUUGAAUUCGGGAGAGGGAUGCAGAAUUCCAGGUGUAGCGGUGAAAUGCGUAGAUAUCUGGAGGAAUACCGGUGGCGAAGGCGGCAUCCUGGACCGACAUUGACGCUGAGGAGCGAAAGCUAGGGGAGCAAACGGG
rnacentral:rRNA from 1 species